GAUGAACGCUGGCGGCGUGCCUAAUACAUGCAAGUCGAGCGGUAAGGCCACUUCGGUGGUACACGAGCGGCGGACGGCUGAGUAACACGUAGGAACGUACCCCAAACUGAGGGAUAACUGCUCGAAAGAGUAGCUAAUACCGCAUGUGCUCUAAGGAGUAAAGCUACGGCGGUUUGGGAACGGCCUGCGCAUGAUUAGCUUGUUGGUGAGGUAAUGGCCCACCAAGGCGACGAUCAUUAGCUGGUCUGAGAGGAUGAUCAGCCAGACUGGGACUGAGACACGGCCCAGACUCCUACGGGUGGCAGCAGUAGGGAAUUUUCCACAAUGGGGGCAACCCUGAUGGAGCAACGCCGCGUGCAGGAUGAAGGCCCUUGGGUCGUAAACUGCUUUUAUCUGUGAAGAUUAUGACGGUAGCAGAUGAAUAAGGAUCGGCUAACUCCGUGCCAGCAGCCGCCGUAA
rnacentral:rRNA from 1 species